GACGAACGCUCGUUGCGUGCUUAACACAUGCAAGUCGAACGGAAAGGCCCUGCUUUUGUGGGGUGCUCGAGUGGCGAACGGGUGAGUAACACGUGAGUAACCUGCCCUUGACUUUGGGAUAACUUCAGGAAACUGGGGCUAAUACCGGAUAGGAGCUCCUGCUGCAUGGUGGGGGUUGGAAAGUUUCGGCGGUUGGGGAUGGACUCGCGGCUUAUCAGCUUGUUGGUGGGGUAGUGGCUUACCAAGGCUUUGACGGGUAGCCGGCCUGAGAGGGUGACCGGCCACGUUGGGACUGAGAUACGGCCCAGACUCCUACGGGAGGCAGCAGUGGGGAAUAUUGCACAAUGGGCGGAAGCCUGAUGCAGCAACGCCGCGUGCGGGAUGACGGCCUUCGGGUUGUAAACCGCUUUCGCCUGUGACGAAGCGUGAGUGACGGUAAUGGGUAAAGAAGCACCGGCUAACUACGUGCCAGCAGCCGCGGUGAUACGUAGGGUGCGAGCGUUGUCCGGAUUUAUUGGGCGUAAAGGGCUCGUAGGUGGUUGAUCGCGUCGGAAGUGUAAUCUUGGGGCUUAACCCUGAGCGUGCUUUCGAUACGGGUUGACUUGAGGAAGGUAGGGGAGAAUGGAAUUCCUGGUGGAGCGGUGGAAUGCGCAGAUAUCAGGAGGAACACCAGUAGCGAAGGCGGUUUUCUGGGCCUUUCCUGACGCUGAGGAGCGAAAGCGUGGGGAGCGAACAGGCUUAGAUACCCUGGUAGUCCACGCUGUAAACGGUGGGUACUAGGUGUGGGGUCCAUUCCACGGGUUCCGUGCCGUAGCUAACGCUUUAAGUACCCCGCCUGGGGAGUACGGCCGCAAGGCUAAAACUCAAAGGAAUUGACGGGGCCCCGCACAAGCGGCGGAGCAUGCGGAUUAAUUCGAUGCAACGCGUAGAACCUUACCUGGGUUUGACAUGGAUCGGGAGUGCUCAGAGAUGGGUGUGCCUCUUUUGGGGUCGGUUCACAGGUGGUGCAUGCCUGUCGUCAGCUCGUGUCGUGAGAUGUUGGGUUAAGUCCCGCAACGAGCGCAACCCUUGUUCACUGUUGCCAGCACGUUAUGGUGGGGACUCAGUGGAGACCGCCGGGGUCAACUCGGAGGAAGGUGGGGAUGACGUCAAGUCCUCAUGCCCCUUAUGUCCAGGGCUUCACGCAUGCUACAAUGGCUGGUACAGAGAGUGGCGAGCCUGUGAGGGUGAGCGAAUCUCGGAAAGCCGGUCUCAGUUCGGAUUGGGGUCUGCAACUCGACCUCAUGAAGUCGGAGUCGCUAGUAAUCGCAGAUCAGCAACGCUGCGGUGAAUACGUUCCCGGG
rnacentral:rRNA from 1 species